rnacentral:lncRNA from 1 species
AAAAAAGCCAUCUUUGGGAGCAGCGGAGCUUUUCAGCAGGCCAGGUUCCAAAUAAAUUAAGAAAUAGACAUGAAGUCAGAUUGGAGUAAAAAUUCAGCUUUAACAGUGAUAAAGCAUGAUGGGAGAAUGUGGCUUGGACCAAUAGUGAAAAUGGGCUGCAUACUAUGACUCACUCAUCUUGCCACAGGCUGUACAGAGGCUAGAGAGUUCCUGAUGCCGCUACAGGGUGGGGAAGCCCUGCUGUGUGAGCUAAUCUAAUGGACAGGAGCGGGUGAGGAGGAGAUGGAAGAAAUGAUUGAUUGGUGGAGACAGGGAUAAACUCCUUCCCAAAAACUUCAUCAAGAGAUGGAAGACUGAGGAGAGACUGAGGGGAGUGGAAGGGA